ACUAUCUACUUAGCUUAGUCC
rnacentral:miRNA from 1 species